rnacentral:misc_RNA from 1 species
GAUUAAUAAUGUUGAUCGAACUUUGACAUUAAUAAUCUCGAAAUCUCAGUCUCGCAAUGCACACACAAAAUAAAACAGAGAGCCAACUCUGGAAACUAAUACAAACACUGUCCUGAUAGAAGAAUUUAUGAAUACAGUGCAUCCCGCCAUGGGGAAAACGCAGACUUAUAUUAACAUCUUCUUCCAUCCUUCAGACCAUUUUUAAUGUGUAAAGGAAACCCUUCUGAAGCCAAACCAAAUGAGCUUCAAUAAUUUUUACACUGCUCAAAACAGUAAAGAGAAGAAUGCUAUCUGUUAGUCCUGAACAACUUUCAACAAGUGACCGACCAUGUGAAGGAAAAGUGAAAAAAAAAAAGAAAAGAAAAGAGGACUACAACUUCCCUGAAUUGUGGAGGAGGAAGUAAGGCGGACUAGGAUGGUGGGGUAGGUGGUGAAAUCCCAAAGUGAUGACAUAAAGCAAGCAAGGCGGCAUCCAUGCUGGUAACAUGAGUGGUGAGGGUCAUUAUGGCAGCCUUGAGACGGUCUAGAUGCUCCUCUAUCGAGCGAGAUGAGGAAGGGCCAGGAGCAAUGGACGUGGAUGGGGUAGCCGUGCCCGUGGUUGGAUUGCCACGCUGCUGUAAAAUAGGACCUGUAGGAAUAAACGAGAAACUACCAUCCUCUUCUUGAUAGAUUAGACCCAUACUCUUCAAACACUUAAGAUCUAAGGGCAUCAUAUCACAGGCCAAAUGCAAAUGAACAGCACGCAAGUCAUCCAAAUCAAUCAAGUUCUCAUUAACAGCCAAUUGGGUAAUAAAAGGGCCCAAAAUCAAGGGCCUGUGAAAGGAAAUAACACUUGCGAGCUGUGUAGCAAACUAAAAGCCCAAAUUGACCUUUUUACCAUUCAUCAUACACCACAGAAAAAAUAAUUUAGCUUUAGAAAAAAUGGUAGAACUGUCCUUUCAACCAGAAACUGAAAAAGCAAGGAAUCGGUGUACAUAAUGCAAGGCAACAUCAAGAAUUAAGUUAACUUUAGUUGUGCUGGGGUUAAAAGUGGCAGUGGGAUCCCCAAUCAGCUCUCUAUAAGGCUUAAUCGGCAAAAAAUCAUGAGGGUAAUCACAUAAAGGUGCAGAAUACGCAUCAUGACUAAAGGAACCCCCAUCCACAAAACCUAAGGCAACAUUAAAUUCAAGGAUGGACAAAGAAAAAACCAUACCUAAUAAUAUGAAAGUAAUCAAAUCUGGUGUAUGUGCAUAAAAAAUUUCAGGUUUUGUAAAUGUAAAAGUAGCAUAAAAUUCUUGAACUAACUCCACAUAAGCAGGACAAUUAACACUCAUAUAGCUCAACCAACUAAUUUCAGCAAACAGUCUCAUCACAUUAGCCUCAAUCCCUAAGCUACGCAAAGUAUCAAGGGGAAUAUACUUAUAAGGUACUACUGAAGCAGGUUAUACCUUGUCUGAUAGGCUUCGUCCUCGAAUUGCAGGGUACCUUGAACUCCUAUUGGUGGAAUUGAGUGCCUCGUUUUAUUGAGUUGAGAUUGAUUCUUCGGCUUUGGGGCUACCUCAUCUUCGUCAGAGGCAUCAGAGGGCUGCUCUGUGUCAUUUUCUGGAGGUGAGGAAGGUUGGUGCUCUAUUUUUAGUGGUGGAGGUGAAGAAGCUACCUUUCUUUUGCCUCUAACGGUGGAUUUGGACUUGGGUGUGAAACUCGCCGGUGUUGAUUGAUUCGCUGGUUCACGAGAUUUAGUGCGUGGAGGUGAAGUGCAAUGCGACAGAGUUGGCGUUGGAUCUAAUGGCGACAGGGUAGAUCUGUUCCUAGUGGUUUGUGAUGACGUCGGAUUUGAGGGUCCAUAAUCUGGUGUUGGUGAUGUGAUCUUAAGAUCUGUCAGAUCGGUGGUGUAUUUGAGGUGGAUGAUCAGCUACGAGGAGGAAGAGGGGGCCGGCGCUACUGACGUGUCUUGCGUUGGGGCUUAGUUGGCGUCGGAUGGUACUAGGUUGCGAUGGCGAUGGAGAUAUGGGUGACGGCGGGGGACGCAUUUGAGAGGCAUGGUGGUGAGGUUGGCAGUGGAGAUAUGGUGACGGUGAUGGAGAAUGGGGGAAGAUGGAGGGAUAGUAAAAGGUAUAAAGUAAUUCUACUUUUUGACUUUUAUUUGGAAGGUAAAUAUAGGGUGGGAUUGGGUACAUGGUAAAUAUAAAAAAAAAGUAUAUUUUGAAAGAUUUAUCUUUUUACCAUGAACGGACAUAUGUAACCUUGCCACCCUAACCUUAAAAAAUCAGAACAAAU